rnacentral:rRNA from 1 species
UACGGAGGGUGCAAGCGUUAUCCGGAUUCACUGAGUUUAAAGGGUGCGUAGGCGGACAGGUAAGUCAGUGGUGAAAUCUCUGGGCUUAACCCAGAAACUGCCGUUGAUACUAUUUGUCUUGAAUAUCCUGGAGGUAGGCGGAAUAUGUCAUGUAGCGGUGAAAUGCUUAGAUAUGACAUAGAACACCGAUAGCGAAGGCAGCUUACUACAGGAUGAUUGACGCUGAGGCACGAAAGCGUGGGGAGCAAACAGG